AGUUCAGGUAGCUCAGGAUCAGGAUGGCUCCGGUUCAGAACGAAGUUGUUACGCAUUAUUCAGAACAUUUGAAGCAUAAAAAAUGUAUUUAUAAAGUCAGGUACCACGAUGAAUAUGCGGCCCUGAGCCUCUGGCCACUAGUCGCCAGUCGCCAGUGAUAUUUUGGUCCAGAUGGGACAGUGGGAUGGGACACAAGAUAUCGCUUGCGGCGUCUCAUAUUGCCGGCGCGCUCGCGGGAGCAUCCGCGCGAGCAAAGUGAUCCGAGACUCCGAGGUGUUGGAGAAUCACGUUGACAGACAUAUGAGGAUUCCAGCAGCGAGAUAGGAUAUGCGUGCCGACUGUAUGCGCGACCGAAAACGCGAGAGAAUUGCAUCAAAAUACGCAUCACCUAGUUCCCAUUUCUCUUCUCCUUUCUCACCAAAUCGAUGAAUGAAAAUUAUCUAUGAGAAUAGACAAACGUAAAGUUUUUACGGAAGCAGAGAUACAAAAAAGGAAGAAGACGGACGUGUCUAUCGACGUGGGUAAGAAUUGUCCAAGCAAGCGAAGCACGCGAAGACAGACGUUGACCGUGACUGCCACGGAUGCCUAGAAGAGGUUUACCUUACGUAAAUAGAGAGGACGAUCUCUGUCACAUUGCAGCAUGCAUACCAAGUUGACCAUAGUAAGCGUAUUAUGGUCAACGCAUUUUUAUACUCCACAUUAUCAACAUUUUUCUUUACUACAGGGAGCAUUUAAAAGACCACGAUGAAAAGUCAAAAUACGGCGAGGAUGGCAGCAGUAAAAGUAGAAGGGAGCAGUGAGACAACGAGAGGGAUGAGGAAAAGGUUGCAGACAUAAAGCGUAAACAGUCGAGGUGCGAUUUGACGCGCACUCGGCCGGGACCGUAUGUACAAGACGCGCCUUCCGCUUUAAGAAUCGCCCCGUGGAAGAGGACGAUGGCUGGAAUCUGUAAAUCUGUCAUUGCGGCCGUAUUCGUACGCAGGAUAUGAACUUCUUGGUCGUCGCACAUCACCGCUCCACGCCGCGACGCUUCCUCAGAUCUGGCCGGUUGAUUUCUUCAGAGAGUCGGCAAGAGUUUUUGAUUUUCAAAAGUAACAUGUGGCAAGCUUAGAGCAACGAUAUCAGAUCAAGCACAAGCUGGUGGUAGAAAAAAUGCAGUAUUACAAAUAUUGUGACAAACGUAAGGCGACAAACACUUUCACGGAGCUCGAUCGAUGGGCACAAUUUGGUAAAGUCGUCAUCAUCAUAUGAGGAAUCGAAGGAAGAAAAAAGGGUCCAAAAGGGAAGAAGAAGAGGAGGAAUGGGGACACGUGAAGCUCGGAUUCAGUGGAAGGAAGGAACACCACAGGGGGGCGGUCGCAAUGUUUGACAGCCAGAAGAGAACCGGAAAUGGGCUGUUUCAUCCAAUGAGCGCCAUUCGCAGGACUGUCGGGAUGUACAUGAAUCCUGGGGGGUGAUACAGGAUCAGCACGACCCGCAACAACCCAGGCGCUGCUGUGGAACGCGUAUCGAUACCUCUUAUCAUCACACGGAACGAAAUCCAUCACCAUCAGAUACUCUGUGUUGGGGUCCAAGCCGAACAGUCGACACUGCGAAUCAUCAAAAUUUCCAUCAUUUCUCGUUUCGUUUUUUGCGUGAAAUAUUCUUAAUCAAGCUGGACAAUAAUUCUCAAUCAAUGUCACAUUUUUUAUAUUAAAAAAGGGUCCAAUGAAAUUUUCUUUUCUUUCUAAUUUUUCUUCUAAGCUUUUUUUGACAUGUAAUUUUAAAACACUAUUCCAUUAUAAUUGACAUUAAAAGUGGAAGAUAAUAAUUCUA